CACCUACGCCAAGAUCGGUAGUUAAAAAUAAUUUAUCAUGAGAUUUAUUAAGUUGUGUGGG
rnacentral:antisense_RNA from 1 species